rnacentral:rRNA from 1 species
CCUACGGGAGGCAGCAGUAAGGAAUAUUGGUCAAUGGACGCAAGUCUGAACCAGCCAUGCCGCGUGAAGGAUUAAGGCCCUCUGGGUUGUAAACUUCUUUUAUAGGGGACGAAAAAAGGGCAUUCUUGCUCACUUGACGGUACCCUAGGAAUAAGCACCGGCUAACUCCGUGCCAGCAGCCGCGGUAAUACGGAGGGUGCAAGCGUUAUCCGGAUUUACUGGGUUUAAAGGGUGCGUAGGUGGGUUGGUAAGUCAGUGGUGAAAUCUUCGAGCUUAACUCGGAAACUGCCAUUGAUACUAUCAAUCUUGAAUCAUCUAGAGGUAAGCGGAAUAUGUCAUGUAGCGGUGAAAUGCUUAGAUAUGACAUAGAACACCAAUUGCGAAGGCAGCUUACUAUGGAUGUAUUGACACUGAGGCACGAAAGCGUGGGGAUCAAACAGGAUUAGAUACCCUGGUAGUCCACGCCCUAAACGAUGGAUACUCGACAUUUGUGUAUAUACUAUAAGUAGUNUGAGACGAAGACGAUAAGUUAGUACCACCGUACGGAAGGUAACGUACCGACGAAGGUUAGUAACGUUACGAAAGGAAGUUAGACGGCGUGAGACGNGCCGACGGACGACGACGAGGGAGGAGG